rnacentral:rRNA from 1 species
GAUGAACGCUGGCGGCGUGCCUAAUACAUGCAAGUCGAGCGAACAGACGAGGAGCUUGCUCCUCUGACGUUAGCGGCGGACGGGUGAGUAACACGUGGAUAACCUACCUAUAAGACUGGGAUAACUUCGGGAAACCGGAGCUAAUACCGGAUAAUAUAUUGAACCGCAUGGUUCAAUAGUUAAAGACGGUUUUGCUGUCACUUAUAGCUGGAUCCGCGCCGCAUUAGCUAGUUGGUAAGGUAACGGCUUACCAAGGCAACGAUGCGUAGCCGACCUGAGAGGGUGAUCGGCCACACUGGAACUGAGACACGGUCCAGACUCCUACGGGAGGCAGCAGUAGGGAAUCUUCCGCAAUGGGCGAAAGCUUGACGGAGCAACGCCGCGUGAGUGAUGAAGGUCUUCGGAUCGUAAAACUCUGUUAUUAGGGAAGAACAAAUGUGUAAGUAACUAUGCACGUCUUGACGGUACCUAAUGAGAAAGCCACGGCUAACUACGUG